UUCCUGUCAGAUUUGCUCUUAAUGCUUUGGUUUUUGAGUUAUAAGCCAAAAACUGCAUUUUACCCCUAUGUUCUAUUUUUAGCCAUGGCGGCCAUCUUGGUUGGUUGGCCGGUCACCGGACACAUUUUUUAAACUAGAUACCCCAAUGAUGAUUAUGGCCAAGUUUGGUUAAAUUUGGCCCAGUAGUUUCAGAGAAGAAGAUUUUUCUAAAAGAUUACUAAGAUUUACGAAAAAUGGUUAAAAAUAGACUAUAAAGGGCAAUAACUCCUAAAGUGGUUAACUGACCAUUUUGG
rnacentral:lncRNA from 1 species